GUAUAGAUUAUAGGCACAGGGCCUGUUACAUUCUAUAACAUACAUUAAGGAGUAUAUGAAGAAACAUAGGCCUGAAAUUGCAAGGAAAGACUGAAAAGUCAAUUCCUCAAAACCUGACUUGCCCAGUCAGAAGGAUUAUUCAGGUCUACAAAAGAUGCACAGGUGGAGAGAUAUAAAAAUGACGAGUGUGCACAAUGCUCCCUAGAGAACCAGCAGCAACUCAUCAGGUUUAUUUUCAAUAAUGAUCCUUCCGCAGGUUCACCUACGGAAA
rnacentral:misc_RNA from 1 species